UUUACGUUCGAAAACUUAUUACUUUACAUUUCAAUUUAUUUCUAAAAAAAAUGAAACUAUUAUAUAUCUUUCUGUCUCUAAAAAAAACUUUCUUAAUUGCUGAAUUCAUCACAAAAAAAAAAUGGCCAAUACUAUAUAGCGUAGUUGGCCAAGAAUUUAAUGAUUGACAUAAUAGCCUAUUAUCUUUCUCUCUUUAUAAGAAAAACUCCCUUAAUUGCCGAAUUAAUCACAACAAGAAUUUAAUGAUUGAUAUAAUAGUCUAUUAUCUUUCUUUCUCUAAAAGAAACUCCCUUAAUUGCUGAAUUAAUCACGAAGAAAAACGACCAAUACUAGGUAACGCAGUUGGCAAGAAUUUAAUAAUUGAUAUUCGAUUUUUUUUUUGAGAUAGAAAGAUAGUAUAUUAUUAGUCUUGUUUAUAUUUUUUAGAAAUAAAUAUAGUUAAAAAUAAAAAGCAACAAGGUUUCGAACUUGGUACCUCGAGUAUCAACCACUAAGUUUUUUACCACUUGUGCCAGAGACGGCCAAUAUUAAUAUUUGAUAUUCUAAUUUCUAAAUUUAGUUAUUUCACAUUUCUUACUAAGUUCAUUAAAACAUAAACACAUUGUAUACUACUUUUAUCUCCCUA
rnacentral:lncRNA from 1 species